rnacentral:lncRNA from 1 species
AAAAAAGAAAAGGCGACAAUUAGACAUACACAAAGGUCUUAACAGAAAACAUACCUGGGAAUCCUCAAUCUGCGUCGCGCCCUGCAAAAAAAAAAGGCCACACGACCUAAAGGAAAAAAAAAGAACCAUUAGACAUACACAAAGGUCUUAACAGAAAACAUACCUGAAUUCCUCAAUCUGCGUCGCGCCCUGCUAGAAAAAAAGAAAAGGCGACAUUAGACAUACACAAAGGCCUUAACAGAAAACAUACCUGGAAUCUCAAUCUGCGUCGCGCCCUGCUAGAAAAAAAGAAAAGGACAACAUUAGACAUACACAAAGGUCUUAACAGAAAACAUACCUGGGAAUUCCUUAAUCUGCGUCGCGCCCUGCCAGAAAAAGAAAAGGCGACAUUAGACAUACACAAAAACCUUAACAGAAAACAUACCUGAAAAUCCUCAAUCUGCGUCGUGCCCUGCCAGAAAAAAAGAAAAGGCAACAUUAAACAUACACAAAGGUCUUAACAGAAAACAUACCUGAAAAUCCUCAAUCUGCGUCGCGCCCUGCUAGAAAAAAAGAAAAGGCGACAUUAGACAUACACAAAGGCCUUACCAGAAAACAUACCUGAAAAUCCUCAAUCUGCGUCUCGCCCUGCUAGAAAAAAGGAAAAGGCGACAUUAGACAUACACAAAGGCCUUAACGGAAAACAUACCUGCGAAUCUCCAAUCUGUGUCGCGCCCUGCCAGAAAAAAAGAAAAGGCAACAUUAGACGUACACCAAGGUCUUAACAGAUAACAUACCUGAAAAUCCUCAAUCUGCGUCGCGCCCUGCCAGAAAAAAAGAAAAGGCAACAUUAGACAUACACAAAGGUCUUAACAGAAAACAUACCUGGAAAAUCCUCAAUCUGCGUCGCGCCCUGCAAAAAAAAAAAGGCCACACGACCUAAAGGAAAAAAAAAAGAACCAUUAGACAUACACAAAGGUCUUAACAGAAAACAUACCUGCGAAUCUCAAUCUGCGUCGCGCCCUGCCAGAAAAAAAGAAAAGGCAACAUUAGACAUACACAAAGGUCUUAACAGAAAACAUACCUGGAAUUCCUCAAUCUGCGUCGCGCCCUGCUAGAAAAAAAGAAAAGACAACAUUAGACAUACACAAAGGUCUUAACAGAAAACAUACCUGAAAUCCUCAAUCUGCGUCGCGCCCUGCUAGAAAAAAAGAAAACACAACAUUAGACAUACACAAAGGUCUUAACAGAAAACAUACCUGCGAAUCUUCAAUCUGCGUCGUGCUCUUCCAGAAAAAAAGAAAAGGCAACAUUAAACAUACACAUAGGCCUUAACAAAAAACAUACCAGCAAAUGUAGCAUAGGCCACACGACCUAAAGGAAAAAAAAAGGAACCAUUAGACAAACACAAAGGCCUUAACAGAAAACAUACCUGAAAAUCUUCAAUCUGCAACGCACCCUGCUAGAAAAAAAGAAAAGGCAACAUUAGACAUACACAAAGGUCUUAACAGAAAACAUACCUGAAAAUCCUCAAUCUGUGUCGCGCCCUGCUAGAAAAAAAGAAAAGACAACAUUAGACAUACACAAAGGUCUUAACAGAAAACAUACCUAAAUCCUCAAUCUGCGUCGCGCCCUGCAAAAAAAAAAAAAAGUCCACACGACCUAAAGGAAAAAAAAAGGAACCAUUAGACAUACACAAAGGUCUUAACAGAAAACAUACCUAAAUCCUCAAUCUGUGUCGCGCCCUGCUAGAAAAAAAGAAAAGACAACAUUAGACAUACACAAAGGUCUUAACAGAAAACAUACCUGGGAAUCCUCAAUCUGCGUCGCGCCCUGCUAGAAAAAAAGAAAAGGCGAAAUUAGACAUACACAAAGGUCUUAACAGAAAACAUACCUGGAAUCCUCAAUCUGCGUCGCGCCCUGCUAGAAAAAAAGAAAAGGCGAACAUUAGACAUACACAAAGGUCUUAACAGAAAACAUACCUGGGAAUCCUCAAUCUGCGUCGCGCCCUGCUAGAAAAAAAGAAAAAGGCGCAACAUUAGACAUACACAAAGGUCUUAACAGAAAACAUACCUGGAAAAUCUCCAAUCUGCGAUGCGCCCUGCCAGAAAAAAAAGAAAAGACAACAUUAGACAUACACAAAGGUCUUAACAGAAAACAUACCUGGGAAUCCUCAAUCUGCGUCACGCCCUGCUAAAAAAAAAAAAAAGGCCACACGACCUAAAGGAAAAAAAAAGAACCAUUAGACAUACACAAAGGUCUUAACAGAAAACAUACCUGAAAUCCUCAAUCUGCGUCGCGCCCUGCUAGAAAAAAAGAAAAGGCAACAUUAGACAUACACAAAGGUCUUAACAGAAAACAUACCUGAAAAUCCUCAAUCUGCGUCACGCCCUGCUAGAAAAAAAGAAAAGGCGAAAUUAGACAUUCACAAAGGUCUUAACAGAAAACAUACCUGAAAAUCCUCAAUCUGCGUCGCGCCCUGCUAGAAAAAAAAGAAAAGACAACAUUAGACAUACACAAAGGUCUUAACAGAAAACAUACCUGGAAUUCCUCAAUCUGCGUCGCGACCUGCUAGAAAAAAAGAAAAGACAACAUUAGACAUACACAAAGGUCUUAACAGAAAACAUACCUGGAAU